ACGGAGGGUGCAAGCGUUAAUCGGAAUUACUGGGCGUAAAGCGCACGCAGGUGGCUGAGUCAGUCGAUUGUGAAAGCCCUGGGCUUAACCUGGGAAUUGCAGUCGAUACUACUCAGCUAGAGUAUGGGAGAGGGUAGUGGAAUUCCAGGUGUAGCGGUGAAAUGCGUAGAUAUCUGGAGGAACACCGGUGGCGAAGGCGGCAUCCUGGACCGGUAUUGACGCUGAGGCGCGAAAGCUAGGGGAGCAAACGGGA
rnacentral:rRNA from 1 species